GCAUUGGUGAUUCAGUGGAAAGAUGCUCGCUUGCCACGCGAUCGACCCUGGUUCGAAUUCCGGGCGAUGCA
rnacentral:tRNA from 1 species